rnacentral:tRNA from 1 species
GGAAGGUCUAACAUUUGGCGUGUGUCACUGUCUUGAAAACAGUCAAGGGUAAAACCGAUGAGAGUUCGAAUCUCUUGCCUUCCGC